UCCCAUGUAGCUCAGUCAGUAAAGCAUCUGCCUGCAAUACAGGAGACUUGGGUUCAGCUCCUGGGUUGGGAA
rnacentral:tRNA from 1 species